UUUGCAAAUGAUGUUGGUUGCUUGUAAGUUGGAGUUGAUACAAUUUAAAAUAUCGACGAGAGAUUUCCUGGGUCUUAAUACUCAAUUUCAAAUACACAAGUGUUGCUUACAGGGCAAUCUCCAAAGGCAGCAAGAUCAUGAACACGUGCGAAUAUUUCUUCACUCAAAAUCCAAGAAAACGUUACAGCGACUCUUGGAAGAGCAAUCAAAUGAAUAAUGCUGUGAAGUACACUUAAUGUAAUGGUUACAUAUAUUAAUGGUUACAGAAACGUAUAAUUGCUUAAUGGCUACUUGUAUUUAUCUACAUGUAUGUGCAUAUAAAAGUUAUAAAAGAA